ensembl:lncRNA
AUGCAGUGUGACUGUGUGUGUUCCAGCAGGAGGCGCUGUAUUCCUGUAACACACUGCGAGAGGAUCGUCCAGCAGGACCACAGGUGCACCUCAGGUCUUUCCAGCUGUGAUGCGGCGGUGACUGCAGUGAUGUUUGUGUGUAUUUGGUUGAUAAAAGCAGCGUUUUGUGAUGGUUUGGUGACCUCACCCUCUGCAGACAAACACUGCGGCCGUCAAACGGACGUCUGAUCGAUGCACGGGAGAAAAGAGAGAAACAUGAUGAUGAGUGGAUCUCACGAAAACACGUCCAAGACACAGCUCACCCUGAAAUCAAAAAGAAAAAAGAACUGAAUAAGAACUUACAGUUUGUAUGAAGAACAUUCUGCCUAUUUUUAGGAAGAUUUUCAUUAUGAAAUUAUUUUCAUGACACAUUUCCCAUUUUAUAACUCAGUAGUUCUUACUACUAUAAUUGCCAGUUUUGCCUGUAUUUUUAAUUUAAAUAAGCAAAACAUUAAAGACAAGAAAGGCACAGUUCAUUUGAAAAAUAUUAACAAAUUUCACUGAAUUUUAUUUUUAUAUUUUAUUUAUUAUUAUUGUUUUAGCUGUAAUUAAAGAACAAAGAUGUAAAUAUAUUGUAAAUUACAAUAAAGUAAAAUAAUGCAUUUCAAAAUAUAUUACUACUGUAAAUUAAAUUGUAAAUAGUCCUAUAUAUAUAUAUAUAUAUAUAUAUAUAUAUAUAUAUAUAUAUAUAUAUAUAUAUAUAUAUAUAUAUUAUAAUAUUUAUUUUAUUAUUUCAUAUAUUUAAUGUCUUAAAUUCUCCUAUUUUUUUAUUUUGGUGUAAUAUUGGAGAAAUGCUGUAAACUUAGAUCUUCAGAAAUGUUGAAAAUUAUGCAAAUGAGUAAAUAAUCUUGCAAACCUAGCGCAUACUGCAUUAUAUUUAUUUGUUAUUAAUAUAUUAUUGAUUUAACUCUAAUAAAAGAGUGAAGGUAUAAAUAUAUUACUGUUGUAAAUUGCAAUCAAUAGCAAUAAAAAGAUUAUUUCAUAAAUGUAAUAGCAAUUUUAUACAAUGCAAAACAAUGUCUUAAAUUUGUCAUUCAAAUCCUCGAGCUUUUAUUUUGGUGAAAUACAGGAGAAAUGUUGUCAACUGUCUACAGACGUGUAAAUAAACCUAGCGCACAUUGUGUUAUAUUUAUAUUUUAUUAUUUAUUUUAUUGUUUUAAUUUUAUUAUUUUAUUUGUUUUGACAAAUUUUACAUUACAUUAAUUAGUAUUUUUUCAUCGUGAAAUCAAAAGUCCCUGUUAUUUCUGGUAGUUGUGUUGAUUGUGUGAGUUCUGAG